AGCACACAGUAUGUAGACAGCAAGUAUGUAGAAAUGACCGAGAUAUAACCCCUUUUUCACAGAAGCAGGGAAAGACCUACUAUACUGUGUGAUAAAUGUCAGGAUAGAAGGAAGAAUGGGAGCUCUGGGAGCAUGUACCAUACAGAGUGACAUCUGGGUAGGCUGCUCAGAGUAAAGCAGCUCUGGUCUGAGCUUUGAAGGUCGAGGAAGAGUUAACCAGAGGAUGUAGUAGAAGUUUGUAGAGGCCCUGUGUUAGGAUAUGGAAAAAUCCUUAAGGACUAUGCCCCCUACCGAAGUAACAAGCUAACCUUCCGGCUACUCCCCAGCCACCAAGCUGCACGGC